rnacentral:lncRNA from 1 species
CCUUAACACACCAAGUUCACCCACCAACACACUCAAUUAAGGUCAAUUUCGAAAAGCCCCAAAUCUAUGAACCCUAAUUUUGUCAAAGUUCAAAUUAAACUCAAUUUCACCAUUAAUUUAACAACCCAAAUUUCGACUUUCAAAUUCUAGGGUUCAUGGACCUACGAAAUUGAAUUUAAAAACUCAAUACCUUGCUUUGGAUGAAAGGAAAUGGUGAAUGGGUGAUGGGGAAUAGAUUACAGGAGCGAAAGGUUGGAUUUAUAAACAAGAACUAGGUGAUUUGAUUGAGAAUUGAGAGAGUUAUGGGACUCUUUUUGGUGUGGGUGAGUUUGAGAGAGUAUGAGUGUUUGUGAGGGGAGGGAGGUUGAGGAAGAUGAAAAUCGAGGGUUGUGGGCUAGGUUUAGGGUCGUCCGGUUUGGUUUAGGUGGGAAGGGAUCGGUCCAAUUAAAUUGAAACCGGGAUUAAAUCAAAAAUCACUUACCUGAACCGGUCGUGGAGCGACCUCGGGGUGUCGCUGUGGUGCGUCGCUCUGGGAUCGACAAACCCGAGCAACCUCGGGGUGUCUCUAUGCUGACCCCGCUCUGGAGAUGGAGCGACUUCGUGUCGUCGCUCUAGGAGGUCGCUUCGAGAGUAUUUUUCGAGCCCAAAACACCGUAAAGCCGAUCGACUUGUUACACUUGCUGAGGUGACGUCGCUCCCAGCUGGAGCGAACUUCCACCUUCGCUCCAGGUCCUCGCUCCAGGUCCUCGCUCCCACGCCCGAUUCUUUGCUCAAACUGGAUCGAUCAAGCACCUGCACAGAACUUCAAUUCUUUUUUUCUUUUUUUUUUUAGAAAUAUGAUGAAAAUGAAAAUACUAAUGCAAUAUGUACAAGGAUAUAUAUGGGACUUCCUCCCAAGUGAGCUUGUUUUAAGUCUCUAGCUUGACUUUGCCUCCUUUUAGAUUAGGCCGGGGUAGGAUCAGAAAGUGGAGUUGAAACCCCAUCUUCCUCUGGUGCAGUCGCCAUGUAGAGCUUAACCCUUUGCCCAUUGACUGUGAAGUCUCUUCCAUCAGUACUCCACAAAACUAUUGCCCCAUAUGGCCUAACCUCCUUGACCUUGAAAGGACCGGACCACCUUGACUUAAGCUUUCCUGGAAAUAACUUCAGCCUAGAGUUGUAGAGAAGAACUUGAUCUCCUUCUUUAAACUCUCUCUACAGGAUAUUCUUGUCAUGGAAAGCUUUAGUCUUCUCCUUGUAGAUCCUUGAGUUCUCAAAAGCAUCCAUUCUUAUCUCAUCAAGCUCAUGUAGCUGAAAAAGCCUUUUCUCCUUGGCACUCUUGAUGUCAAAGUUCAGCAACGUUACUGCCCAUAGUGCCUUGUACUCAAGCUCCACUGGCAGAUGGCAAGCUUUCUCGUACACUAGGUUGAAAGGUGUGGUCCCCAGAGGUGUCUUAUAAGCUGUCCUAUAAGCCCAAAGCGCAUCAUCAAGCUUAAUGGACCAAUCCUUCCUUGUAAUCCCCACAAUCUUCUCCAAAAUGGACUUGAUCUCUCUGUUAGAAAUCUCAACUUGACCACUUGUUUAAGGAUGGUAAGGAGUUGCUACCUUGUGCUUUACACCGUUCUUCUUGAGAAGUCUCUGAAGCAGUUUGUUGAUGAAAUGAGAACCUCCAUCACUGAUCACAACUCUUGGAACUCCAAACCUUGGAAAGAUGAUGCUCCUGAACAUCUUGGUUACAACUCUAGCAUCAUUGGUGGGGCUUGCAAUAGCUUCCACCCAUUUGGAGACAUAAUCAACAGCUACAAGGAUGUAUUUGUUGCCAAAGGAUGAUGGAAAUGGUCUCAUGAAGUCAUACCCCACACAUCAAACACUUCAACUUCAAGGAUUGGAUUUUGAGGCAUCUCAUUCCUUUUGGUGAUGUUCCCUCUCCUUUGGCAGGAAUCACACUUUGAAACAAAGUCUUGUGUAUCCUUAAACAUGUGUGGCCACCAUAAUCCAGCUUGUAGCACAUUUGCAACAGUUUUGAAGGUAGCAAAGUGGCCUCCAUAGGAUGAUCCAGGCUUGUAGCACCUUUGCCCUUGAAUCUCUCCCAGGCUUCACUGAAUCCUUCCAAGUUCUUCUGUUGAAAGCUGGAAAUCUUAUUUCUUAGCUUAGCAGUUCUUGAAGUAGAGAAGAACUUUUCCAUGAAUGCUUUCUUGCAGUCAUCCCAUGUGGUGAUAGAGUCGCUGGGUAGAGACUACUCCCACUGACGUGCUUUAUUCCCCAAAGAGACAGGGAAUAGCUUGAGCUUUAUGGCAUCCUUGGAUACACCAUUGGUUUUUGACAACUCACAGUAGCUGUUGAACCUGUCCAAGUGAUCAAAUGGGUCCUCCAAAGCCUAGCCAUGAUACUUGUUGUUCUCGAUCACGUUGAGGAGUCCUGAUUUGAUCUCAAAGUUGUUAGCUGCCACAGCCGGUGCUCGGAUUCCCAGUCUAUGACCAUGAAUGUUGGGGCCGUCAUAAGUACCAAUGGGUCGAGCUGCUCGUUGUGGGUGUUGUGGAACGUUGUUGGUUCCAUUGGCAUUCGCAUCAUCUUGAGGUUGGUCUCCCAUAUUAAUAUCCAAUCUCUGCAAGUGAGGCUGUUGCUCUUCUUCUCUUCUCUUUCUAGCACACUCUCUCUCUAAAGCUCUGAUGUCUGCAACUGAACUUGGUUUGAUGGACCCUUGCUCCUCAAGUUCAUACACCUGAAAGUAAAAGGGAGGUGAAGAAGGAGGAUCAGUAACAAGAGAAAAAAAAAUAAAAAUAAUUUAGUCUCAAGCAAGUGACUAAAUCCCAAUGUUCAAAUCAACUCAGAAUUUGGCAACGGCGCCAAUUUAAAGUUAAGAGUUUUCAAGGUUCCUAAGAUAAAUGAUGUAGUAUAAAAGAUUGUCGAACCAAUUCUAAGGGAUUUUGGUUUAGGUGGGAAGGGAUCGGUCCAAUUAAAUUGAAACCGGGAUUAAAUCAAAAAUCACUUACCUGAACCGGUCGUGGAGCGACCUCGGGGUGUCGCU